rnacentral:rRNA from 1 species
AUGGAUAACGACGAGUUCUACGACCGAGCGUCGCUUGGAUCUACAUUGUCGGUUAACAAAAUAAUCCAUCCAGAUGUCCUGCUUAACAUACCCGACGCCAUUUACCGUCGAAGGCAAUACUCACAGGACAUAAACAGUGUCACCAUGCUCUUCUACACCUCUGCGCAGAUUAAUGGAAUCAAUUCACUGCAGAUGACAAUUACCGGUGUUCGCUCUGCCAUUGAGGAAGUGGCUGAAGAUUCUGCAGCUGUGGCAGCCAUCAGCUGGCCUCCCUCUCGUCGGUGCUCAGCGGGAGAAGCAUGA